AGUCCUUGCUCAAGGGCCCAACAGUCAUAGAAAACAGCAAAAUAUUCUCAAAUUUGCUUAAUCUAUUUCAACCUUGCCGGAAACCAGAAUCUAUCCUAACAUCAUUGGGAAAAAGGACUGUGGAAUCAAGAACUGGACACCUCAGCCAGCUGAUGUUGCAUGCACUGUAAAUUAAGAGACGUUAAUGCUGCAACUAUACAAUGCACUAGUGAGACCACAUCUGGAGCAUUAUGUGCAGUUCAGUUUUUUUGUGGUGGCGGCCUGCGCCACCACCACCUACUC